GCUUGUAGCUCAGGUGGUUAGAGCGCACCCCUGAUAAGGGUGAGGUCGGUGGUUCAAGUCCACUCAGGCCUACCAAA
rnacentral:tRNA from 1 species